AUGAUAAAUUAAGUCUAGGCCUCC
rnacentral:siRNA from 1 species